AGGCUCAUCGGCGCGGUGCUUCCAGAGGGGUUUAAUGGCGAGAUGCUCAUCCUUGGCCUUGAUCAGGAAAUGGUGGUGGUGAUGGUGGUGCAUGAGGGAUCGGGGGAGGAGGUAGGGCUUCUUGGAGGCGAAGGUAGGGGAGGGAAGAUUGUCGAGGUCAUCCAUGAGGUCCCAGGCAUUAAUGACGGUGGUGGGUGAGGCAGAGGUAGCGGUGAGCUGGGGAUUGGGGUCGUCUAGGGUUUUGAGGGAGCCGUAGGUAGUAGAGGUGAGGGAGAUG
rnacentral:lncRNA from 1 species